rnacentral:sRNA from 1 species
GCUGGGUGUGGUGGCACACACCUGUAAUCCCAGAUGCUCAGAGGUUGAGGCAGGAGGAUCACGAGUUCAAAGCCAGCCUCAGCAAUGGCGAGGCACUAAGCAAUUCAGUGAGAACCUGUCUCUA